UACGUAGGGUGGAAGCGUUGUCCGGAAUUAUUGGGCGUAAAGAGCUCGUAGGCGGUUUGUGGCGUCGGCUGUGAAAUCCCGAGGCUCAACCUCGGGUCUGCAGUCGAUACGAGCAAACUAGAGUGUUGCAGGGGAGACUGGAAUUCCUGGUGUAGCGGUGAAAUGCGCAGAUAUCAGGAGGAACACCGGUGGCGAAGGCGGGUCUCUGGGCAACAACUGACGCUGAGGAGCGAAAGCGUGGGGAGCGAACAGG
rnacentral:rRNA from 1 species